rnacentral:rRNA from 1 species
GAUGAACGCUGGCGGCGUGCCUAAUACAUGCAAGUCGAGCGAACAGAUGAGGAGCUUGCUCCUCUGACGUUAGCGGCGGACGGGUGAGUAACACGUGGAUAACCUACCUAUAAGACUGGGAUAACUUCGGGAAACCGGAGCUAAUACCGGAUAAUAUAUUGAACCGCAUGGUUCAAUAGUGAAAGACGGUUUUGCUGUCACUUAUAGAUGGAUCCGCGCCGCAUUAGCUAGUUGGUAAGGUAACGGCUUACCAAGGCAACGAUGCGUAGCCGACCUGAGAGGGUGGUCGGCCACACUGGAACUGAGACACGCUCCAGACGCCUACGGGAGGCAGCAGUAGGGAAUCUUCCGCAAUGGGCGAAAGCAUGACGGAGCAACGCCGCGUGAGUGAUGAAGGUCUUCGGAUCGUAAAACUGUGUUAUUAGGUAAGAACCAAUGUGUCAGUAACUAUGCACGUAUUGACGGUAACUAAUCAGAAAGCAACGGCUAACUACGUG